rnacentral:rRNA from 1 species
GGAAUAUUGGUCAAUGGGCGAGAGCCUGAACCAGCCAAGUAGCGUGCAGGAUGACGGCCCUAUGGGUUGUAAACUGCUUUUAUACGGGGAUAAAGUGAGGGACGUGUCCCUUAUUGUCGGUACCGUAUGAAUAAGGACCGGCUAAUUCCGUGCCAGCAGCCGCGGUAAUACGGAAGGUCCGGGCGUUAUCCGGAUUUAUUGGGUUUAAAGGGAGCGCAGGCUGAUUGUUAAGCGUGACGUGAAAUGUAGCCGCUCAACGGCUGAGUUGCGUCGCGAACUGGUUUCCUUGAGUGAGUGCGACGUCAGCGGAAUUCGUGGUGUAGCGGUGAAAUGCUUAGAUAUCACGAAGAACCCCGAUUGCGAAGGCAGCUGACGAGUCCUUUACUGACGCUAAAGCUCGAAGGUGCGGGUAUCGAACA